rnacentral:rRNA from 1 species
CGCAUCUGUGCAUGCAGCAUAUCAAUAAGCGGAGGAAAAGAAACUAACAAGGAUUCCCCUAAUAACGGCGAGUGAAGCGGGAAGAGCUCAAAUUUGAAAUCUUAAAGGGUUUCCCUUUACGAAUUGUAGUUUAAAGAAGUGUUUUCUGUUGAGGUUUUGGUAAAAGUUCUUUGGAAUAGGACAUCAUAGAGGGUGAGAAUCCCGUAUUUGACCUUUACUUUCAACUUUGUGAUACACUUUCAAAGAGUCGGAUUGUUUGGGAAUGCAGUCCAAAAUGGGUGGUAAAUUUCAUCUAAAGCUAAAUAUUGGCGAGAGACCGAUAGCGAACAAGUACCGUGAGGGAAAGAUGAAAAGAACUUUGAAAAGAGAGUUAAACAGUACGUGAAAUUGUCAAAAGGGAAGCGUUUGACACCAGUGUUGUUUUUCUGAAAAUCAAUUAAAGAACUGUUUAUGCUAAGUUGUUUAGACUUUAUCAGCUAACUGUUUAGUUUUGAGCUUUUCUUUAAUGCACUUUUCAGUUAACAAGUCAACAUCAAUUUCUUUUGCUGUAAAAAAGCUUGAGGAAGGUGGCUUGAGAUUCGUCUUAAGUGUUCAUAGCCUCUUGCCUAUGCAGUCGGAGAGAUUGAGGUCUGCAGCGUAGAUCCUUCGGGGCUAAAUGCAUUUGUGCUAAGUUAUAGCAUUUUAUAGACAACUUGUUGACUAUGAUUUGUCUUGUAGCUUACUCGCUUAUGUUAUUUUACCUACGCUUAGGAUGUUGACAGCAGUAUAGACUGU